rnacentral:lncRNA from 12 species
AUGAGAAGCAAAGCACUCUUGAAUCUUUACCUGGAGGGGGACCUGGGGAAGGUGACAUAUUUGCGUGGAGACUGUUUCCUUGUCCACAUGUGGAAGCGAAAAAGUCUUCCUUGUCCACCUCCAGGAUUGUUAAUAGGCCCACGGCAGUAUGGCUGGGAUGCUGGUGCCUGUGACUGCAGGAGGCCAUCCACGCUGGACUUGCAGCCACAGGGAACUCGUUGCCAUGUAGGGACAUGCAUGGAGGAGCGGCGAGGGCCUACGGGCGGAUGUGCAGGGAGCUGGCUGCUGACAAAAGUAAACGCAAGCCGAAGAUCUGCCAGCAUGAGCCCAGCUCCCGGUGGGUGCACAGUGCCUGGGAGAGAAGCAGCUAAGUUCACGGAUAAAGGAGAGGUGGUGGCUGUGGAUGGAUGUGAAAUAUCGUUUCUAAGUGUGGAAGCCAAUGGAAGUUCAAACUUGACCUGGUAG